GUGCAGCAGGCGCGAAAACUUCGCAAUGCGCGAAAGCGCGACGAGGGGAUUCCAAGUGCAUGCACUAAGUGUAUGCUUUUCGUGAGUUUAAAACGCUCACGGAAUAAGGGCUGGGUAAGACUGGUGCCAGCCGCCGCGGUAAUACCAGCGGCCCUAGUGGUGAUCGUUAUUAUUGGGCCUAAAGCGUCCGUAGCCGGUCUGGUAAAUCUCUGGGUAAAUCGUUGGGCUUAACUCAGCGAAUUCUGGGGAGACUGCUGGACUUGGGACCGGGAGAGGUCGGAGGUACUCCAGGGGUAGGGGUGAAAUCCUGUAAUCCUUGGGGGACCACCGGUGGCGAAGGCGUCCGACCAGAACGGGUCCGACGGUAAGGGACGAAGCCCUGGGGCGCGAACCGGAUUAGAUACCCGCGUAGU
rnacentral:rRNA from 1 species